AGGACGAACGCUGGCGGCGUGCUUAACACAUGCAAGUCGAACGAUGAAGCCCUUCGGGGUGGAUUAGUGGCGAACGGGUGAGUAACACGUGGGUGAUCUGCCUCGCACUCCGGGAUAAGCUUGGGAAACCGGGUCUAAUACCGGAUAUGACUUCGGGCUGCAUGGCUCGGGGUGGAAAGAUUUAUCGGUGCGAGAUGAGCCCGCGGCCUAUCAGCUUGUUGGUGGGGUAAUGGCCUACCAAGGCGACGACGGGUAGCCGGCCUGAGAGGGCGAUCGGCCACACUGGGACUGAGACACGGCCCAGACUCCUACGGGAGGCAGCAGUGGGGGAAUAUUGCACAAUGGGCGCAAGCCUGAUGCAGCGACGCCGCGUGAGGGACGACGGCCUUCGGGUUGUAAACCUCUUUCGGCAGGGACGAAGCGCAAGUGACGGUACCUGCAGAAGAAGCACCGGCCAACUACGCGCCAGCAGCCGCGGU
rnacentral:rRNA from 1 species